rnacentral:rRNA from 1 species
UGCCAGACUCCUACGGGAGGCAGCAGUGGGGAAUAUUGCACAAUGGGGGAAACCCUGAUGCAGCGACGCCGCGUGAGUGGAGAAGUAUUUCGGUAUGUAAAGCUCUAUCAGCAGGGAAGAAAAUGACGGUACCUGACUAAGAAGCCCCGGCUAAAUACGUGCCAGCAGCCGCGGUAAUACGUAUGGGGCAAGCGUUAUCCGGAUUUACUGGGUGUAAAGGGAGCGCAGGCGGCGCGGCAAGUCAGAUGUGAAAGCCCGGGGCUCAACCCCGGGACUGCAUUUGAAACUGCCGUGCUGGAGUGUCGGAGAGGCAAGUGGAAUUCCUAGUGUAGCGGUGAAAUGCGUAGAUAUUAGGAGGAACACCAGUGGCGAAGGCGGCUUGCUGGACGAUAACUGACGCUGAGGCUCGAAAGCGUGGGGAGCAAACAGGAUUAGAUACCCCCGUAA